rnacentral:rRNA from 1 species
UAAUAGAAUGAAUCAUGUUGAACACACCAGUUUCUCGUCCGAUCACCAAGUUAAGCAAUGUCAAGUCUGAUGAGUACUUAGAUGGGUGACCACUUGGGAAACCUAGGUGCUGUAAGCA